AGAACAUAUACGGGGAAUUGAUACUACCACUAAGGAGUUGUUAGGGAGCUGUGGAACUAAGUAUAGAUGGGUUCAUGGCCCAGCAAACAGUCUCUGAGUGCCUCAGAAUCAAAUAAUUAAACAAUUACUAACUCGCUAGAGCUGCUAUAACCAACACUGCAUCACGCAUGGAAGAUUAACUACCAAAUACUUAUAUGUUAUCGG